rnacentral:rRNA from 1 species
UACGUAGGGUGCAAGCGUUAAUCGGAAUUACUGGGCGUAAAGCGUGCGCAGGCGGUUUUGUAAGUCUGACGUGAAAUCCCCGGGCUUAACCUGGGAAUGGCGUUGGAGACUGCAAGGCUGGAAUCUGGCAGAGGGGGGUAGAAUUCCACGUGUAGCAGUGAAAUGCGUAGAGAUGUGGAGGAACACCGAUGGCGAAGGCAGCCCCCUGGGCUAACACUGACGCUCAUGCACGAAAGCGUGGGGAGCAAACAGG